UUUUUUAGAUCAUAUAGCUAUCAAACGUGUUCUAGAUGGACAACGUUACACCAUUUCACUUUCCUGCAAUGCGCAGCAGCUGACCACCUGAACACGAAAGAGUCCACGGAAUGCAAAUAUGUGGGCACUAUUUAGCCCUAUUUAGCCUGUGCGUCAGCAGUCGCCUUGGCACCUCGACAACUCAUCGGUGGAGAUAGGACUACAUCUGGAUAUUUUCCCCAAAAGCGUUAUUUAAUCAAGGCUCUGUUGGCGAUUGCAUGCGUGGUCAGUGUCCUGCGGUGGUCAUGUUGCCGUAUCUUUGCCUGUGUUGGGUAUUCGUCUUUUUCGUGGUCGGAAUGCACUGUGCACUGAGCUGUGAGAAAUAUACGUGCACAUUCAGCAUACGAGCCGGGGAAGUUCGCGUCAACUUAAUGGAAGAUUUUAGCGGUCAAGCCUCUAACGGGACGAUUGGAUGUAUUACUUGCAGCCUUGGGUCAUUCGCGACCCUUAACUCCUACACCCUCAUAGCCUAUCUGGCCAAAGGGAACAGGACAUGCCCGGCGGGAAAUACUGUGGUCUUCUCCUUCACCUCGCCCAUCUUGGGCCUGGAAGAACACCAAACUGGAACCUUCUCCGCCACACCAGACUGUGCUGUUGACAUGACUCAUCCCCGUGACGACAGCUGCAAACAGCUCCCCCUGGUGGACUGCGUGGACGACUGGGUGUUCCGCUAUGUGUUUGAUGUUCGCGCCGAGCGCCAGCCAUUGAAAAUCCAAACAGUCAAGCUUCCCCAGUUCACCACAGAACUGAUUACCACACAGCACGAGAUUGAUUGUAAAUGUGAAGCCAUAGAGUUACUGUUAAGCCUAGUGGACAGCUUUGAGAGCACCAAAGACAUUGAUCAGAUAUAUGCCUUGUGCAUAUUUCUCAGAAACGAUCGGAUGAAACACUGCAAGGCGCUUCAGUUGUUGGAAAGGGCAAUACGCAACAUCACCAAUCUGGGAAAACAGAAGGAGAUCCUCACCUUGACGACGGUCUCCGUCACAGAAGUCAGCAAUGACCACCAGGACAGCUUCUGCAUCGCGUUGCCCUCUCAGACCCAACAGAGAUCGG
ensembl:lncRNA